CCUACGGGAGGCAGCAGUGGGGAAUAUUGGACAAUGGGGGAAACCCUGAUCCAGCCAUGCCGCGUGUGUGAAGAAGGCCUUUUGGUUGUAAAGCACUUUANNCANUGAAGAAGACCUAACGGUUAAUACCCGUUAGCGAUGACAUUANCUGCNNAAUAAGCACCGGCUAACUCUGUGCCAGCAGCCGCGGUAAUACAGAGGGUGCAAGCGUUAAUCGGAAUUACUGGGCGUAAAGCGAGCGUAGGUGGCUUGAUAAGUCAGAUGUGAAAU
rnacentral:rRNA from 1 species